rnacentral:rRNA from 1 species
UACGAAGGGGGCUAGCGUUGUUCGGAAUCACUGGGCGUAAAGGGCGCGUAGGGCUGGCUUUAUAAGUCGGGGGUGAAAGCCUGUGGCUCAACCACAGAAUUGCCUUCGAUACUGUAGAGCUUGAGACCGGAAGAGGUAAGUGGAACUGCGAGUGUAGAGGUGAAAAUUCGUAGAUAUUCGGAAGAACACCAGUGGCGAAGGCGACACACUGGCCCCGUUACUGACGCUGAGGCGGCGAAAAGCGUGGGGAGCAAACAGG